AACGAACGCUGGCGGCAGGCCUAACACAUGCAAGUCGAACGCCGUAGCAAUACGGAGUGGCAGACGGGUGAGUAACACGUGGGAACGUACCCUUCGGUUCGGAAUAACUCAGGGAAACUUGAGCUAAUACCGGAUACGUCCGAGAGGAGAAAGAUUUAUCGCCGAGGGAUCGGCCCGCGUCUGAUUAGCUUGUUGGUGAGGUAACGGCUCACCAAGGCGACGAUCAGUAGCUGGUCNGAGAGGAUGAUCAGCCAC
rnacentral:rRNA from 1 species